UAGAAUCAAAUUUCAAUCAA
rnacentral:rRNA from 1 species